AUUGAACGCUGGCGGCAUGCCUUACACAUGCAAAUCGAACGGUAACGGGCCUUCGGGUGCCGACGAGUGGCGAACGGGUGAGUAAUACAUCGGAACGUGCCCGAUCGUGGGGGAUAACGAGGCGAAAGCUUUGCUAAUACCGCAUACGAUCUACGGAUGAAAGCAGGGGACCGCAAGGCCUUGCGCGGACGGAGCGGCCGAUGGCAGAUUAGGUAGUUGGUGGGAUAAAAGCUUACCAAGCCGACGAUCUGUAGCUGGUCUGAGAGGAUGAUCAGCCACACUGGGACUGAGACACGGCCCAGACUCCUACGGGAGGCAGCAGUGGGGAAUUUUGGACAAUGGGCGCAAGCCUGAUCCAGCCAUGCCGCGUGCAGGAUGAAGGCCUUCGGGUUGUAAAAUGAUUUUGUACGGAACGAAAAGCCUUCUUUUAAUACAGGAGGGUCAUGACGGUACCGGAAGAAUAAGCACCGGCUAACUACGUG
rnacentral:rRNA from 1 species